GCUUACGGCCAACCUCCCUGAGCACGCCGAUCUCGUCUGAUCUCGGAAGCUAAGCAGGGUCGGGCCGGUUAGUACUUGGAUGGGAGACCGCCUGGGAAUACAGGUGCUGUAAGCC
rnacentral:rRNA from 1 species